GCAGAUAUGAGGCUCUGCUAGCCACUAACCACUAAUUCUACCAUGUUUUGAAUAAACAUUCAGGAAAGUAGGUGUCUUGAUUUGUUCCCCUGUCAUUUAAUUACUACAAAUAAACAUGACUUCCUCCUUUGUCUACAAAUGCUCUUCUUUUGAAAACCAAAGAUCUUGACCAGGAUACUUUUACUAGGCAACCUGUGCUUUGCUAACAGCAAUAUGAUCUAUCACUUAUAUUGUAAAUGUUUUUAGUUUACAAAUACUACGCAUACAUUCCACUCAAAUACUCUGAAGUCAAGAUGGGAUUUGCCCAAGGUUGUGUAGUAAACAGCAGCAGAGUCACUAAAACUCUGUUUUAAUGACUUAAGGUCAUUUGCUGCCCCAUGACACCGCUUGAUCUGGAAAGUGUCUUCGCCUAGGCAGUUUGCCAGAAGAGGGAGAGAAGAAAUUAAAGAGACCAGAUAACUUUGCAUUUGGUAAAGAACAAAUCUGUCUCUCUUAGGCAGGAGUGAAGAGGAUGAGAUUCUUGUGUGUGGUAGGUUAUGGGUCUGAACUACAAUUCAGAUUCUUUUUAAUUUUUUUUUUAUUUUUUAUUUUUAGAUACAGUCUCUCUCUGUUACACAGGCUGGAGUGCAGUGGCACGAUCUGGAUUCACUGCAUCCUCGACCUCCCAAGCUCAAGCGAUCCUCUCACCUCAGCAUCUGAGUAGCUGGGACAACAGGCGCCACACCACCACACCCGGCAUUGAUAAACCUUGGCUGUUGCUUCAAAUAUAAAUGAUUCUAGAACAUCAGAAUAACUAGUAACAGUAAGAUUACUCAAAUAAGCAAAUAAAAUCAAAGAAGGUAAGUAAAAAUUUUAUAAUCUAACGUUUGAAUUGGACAUAUCACUAUAAACUCAUUUUAUCUUUUAAAAUAAAUUUUAAAAUGCAUAUUUCAUUGCUCUGUCCCUUGAAAAAGUCUAAAAGGAAUGACAACUCAGCAGUAAUUAACACAAUAAGCAUCCAGAUUGUGGUUUUUAAAUCCUAUUGUGUCCAGAAUUGGUGGGUUCUUGGUCUCACUGACUUCAAGAAUGAAGCCGCAGACGCUCGCGGUGAGUGUUACAGCUCUUAAGGUGGCGCCUCUGGAGUUUGUUCCUUCUGAUGUUCGGAUGUGUUCAGAGUUUCUUACUUCUGGUGGGUUCGUGGUCUCGCUGGCUCAGGAGUGAAGCUGCAGACCUUCGAGGUGACUGUUACAGCUCUUAAGACAGCGCGUCUGGAGUUGUUCGCUCCUCCCGGUGGGCUCAUGGUCUCGCUGGCUUCAGGAAUGAAGCUGCAGACCUUUGUGGUGAGUGUUACAGCUUGUAAAAGCAGCGUGGACCCAAAGAGUGAGCGGUAGCAAGAUUUAUUGCAAAGAGCGAAAGAACAAAGCUUCCACAUUGUGGAGAAGGACCUGAGCG
rnacentral:lncRNA from 1 species